rnacentral:tRNA from 1 species
AUUUUCAUAAUUUAAAUAAAAUAUUGUAUUUUCAAUACAAAAAUAAGCCCAGCUUUGUAAAUU